GAUGAAGAACGCAGCGAAAUGCGAUAAGUAAUGUGAAUUGCAGAAUUCAGUGAAUCAUCGAAUCUUUGAACGCACAUUGCGCCCCCUGGUAUUCCGGGGGGCAUGCCUGUCCGAGCGUCAUUACAACCCUCAAGCUCAGCUUGGUAUUGGGCCCCGCCGCUCCGGCGGGCCCUAAAGUCAGUGGCGGUGCCGUCCGGCUCCGAGCGUAGUAAUUCUUCUCGCUCUGGAGGUCCGGUCGUGUGCUCGCCAGCAACCCCCAAUUUUUUUCAGGUUGACCUCGGAUCAGGUAGGGAUACCCGCUGAACUUAAGCAUAUCAAAAGCGGAGGA
rnacentral:misc_RNA from 1 species